ensembl:miRNA MIR4313 microRNA 4313
GAUCAGGCCCAGCCCCCUGGCCCCAAACCCUGCAGCCCCAGCUGGAGGAUGAGGAGAUGCUGGGCUUGGGUGGGGGAAUCAGGGGUGUAAAGGGGCCUGCU